UGGUGUCGACGAUGCAUAUUUAAACAGGGUGGUUACAGGAAGUGGGUUGCUCAUCACUUUCCCACUAGUUGUUCCCGUUUUACUCAUGAACGACGGUCCGUUUGCUGCCUCUGCAAAGCUCGAAUCCGACCGGUGAAAUAAGGUACAGUUAAAUAGUGCAUAUGUGCAACAGGUAUGUAAAUGUUAGUCGUGCAGUUUGGAAACUUUGUGACUAUGAAUGUAUGAUUUAUUCAGUUCCAUAGCCCGUAGAGAGAGUGUGUCCAAAAGUUGACGAUGAAAUUUAAAAAAGUAUUUUUAGAGUUGAAGGUGUAUAUAUUUAUAUCUGAUCUUUCUUUAAUAAAAUCUUUUAGAAAAACGAGCAACUCGCUAGUUAUUAUAUUAUAAUUUCGAAAUUCGCAACGUAAAAUUUCUCGGAGCUUUAAAUAAAGGAGCUUUAAAUAAAGUAAAAUCAAGAUACAACUAAGAGAACAAGGUCUUUUCUUUUCAGUUUUGUUACUUAAUUUUUUGUUAAAACUUUAUUAAAAGAUUGCUAAAACUUUCUUAUUUCCUAUAUAAAUUGUUUAUAUAAUAUUUUUCUUGGUCAUUUUUACACACAAAGAGGGAAUUAAAAUUAAACUUGUUAAAAGAUUUUUAUCCACAAUACGAUUGUAUGAAGUAAUAUAAUAUUUCAAAAUUAUCAUUAAUGGACUUACACAGGAAAACGACAAAUAUACGAUUAUGCGACAUCAAAGCAUGAUGAGAUUUGCUCAAAGGAUCGGCAAAGCCGAAAGCGUGCUUAAUUAUUUGUUGCACGAGCGCGUUAUUUACCCAACAACUCCACGACAAUUUGUCGGUUAAACAUAUGGCUACGUUUGUAGAAUUAAAGUGGAGCUGCUGAAACUAAUACGCUUGAGUUACCAAUGAAGUUACCAACUCAGCUAAAGUCAUUAACAUUAAUACGGACCAAUAACGCAACCCGUAUUAAUCGCAGCGUGUAAUAAAUUCUACCGAAAUUGGUACGCGCGCAAUUACGAUCUACCGGUUCUACCUUCUGGGUUCCGGGUUCUCCUUGCAACCCAGAAAUCCGGGUACCAAAUCUAAAAACGUUGUAACAAAAAGCAGGGAAAAUGUUGGGAUCGAUCUAUUCUACUACGGCGGAAGCUUUUUCGUGAAUUCCAACAAUUCUUCUAAAAUCUAUUCCGAGUGCAGAAUAAAUCUUGUGCCGUCAAAUACAGGGUUACAGAGUUUGCUCAGCGUGCGCACGCGUAUUUUCACGUAUUUUCCAUGUAUAUGGAAAUCUCCUUGUGAGAAUCGUCGCUCUGUUAUUACGAGUAAGUUCAGAGGAGCUCGGCUUGAAGCAGCAAACUCGACGCGCCGUCCCGACGUCUGGUAUUGCUUGCGGAGCAAUGAGUUCCUUAGGUAGGAUCAUCCACGUAGGAUCCGCGCGAUCUCGUUGACAAAUAAUAGCAGCAGCCGCAACAGUAGUAGUAGUAGCAGCAGCAGCAGCAGCAGCAGCAUAAUUAAUUCCUCAGGCAGAAAUAAAUUCCGCUAGAUGACUCGAAGCACGUGUGAACGUGAAAGCUCGGCUCGAGCGAUACUAUUUAUAGAAAAUGUGGAGACCAUUAAGGUAUCUGACAUAAAAGAGGCGGUCCCUUAUAUACGUCUCGGUGUGGAUCGCGAGAAAUUCGUCUACCUGGAGCUCCUCUUUGUCUGUCCGGCGAUGCGUUUCGACAUUUAUCUUGAGAUCUUCCUACCUGAGACUUCCCUUUAUCCUCCGAACAACAAUGAAACAAGGUCGCGUUUAUCAAGGCUACCAGCUCUAUUCACGGAAUAAAAUACGCCUGCAAAUUCGAUAUGUACACGAGCAGGACAAACAAUUCUGACGGCGCGUAUUUAGCGAAUAAUAAAUAAAUAAUAAUAAAUAAAACUUGACGAAUCACAGAUUUUUCGAAAAGGAACUUGUAGAUGCUGAGAUUUCUCGUGAAUCACCGACGACGGGACUACGAGGAUGAGGGUGAUCAGCACUCCUUUUCCGGGGUGACUCAUCCCCUUUAAUUCUAGAUGGAAGGACGCUCAGCAUUGGAGGCGCGAUGGUUCACGCACGGCUCGUGCGUAAAAACUCUCGCCGGAAUUUCAAGUAUUAGCGCACGCAAGCCCGGGCUUACACUAGGCAUCGAUUUUACAUCGCUCAGAGUGAAAACGCUCGUUAGUUUUUGCCGUUUCCGCGCGCACGGCAAUCUGCUUCUCUAGCUCGAUCGCUCGCUCGGCGUUUCCUUUCGCGUGCGCCCGUGUCUAUAAAAUCGAAUUAAGUGUUUUUCGACGGCCUCUUACGGCUCUCGCGCGUUUAAAAUUGCUGCCACCAUUCCGGCAGUGGUCGCUUAUAAAAGGUGAAAGUUUAACGAUGGCUUUCAGCGGCUCUCGCUGAGGCGGGCAAACGGGCGGACUUGGACCGCUCGCGCGUCGAGUAACAACCUCGCGAGGCGUCGUAAAGAUUACGCGCCGGAUAUACGCGUGGUCGAACGGCAAGCAUCGUAAAGAGGAUACUGGCCGAACGGUCGAUAGAGAUACCGAGCGCUCGAGGAUACUUGAGGACCGGAUAUUCUGCCAUGCCGAAAAAGGGAAUAAACUUCUUUGUCUUCCAAUGUGCCCAGCGCGAAGAGUUGUCGCACGAGGCACCGCUCGCAAUUAUCAGACGGAGGGCAAUUAAGACUUUACCUUAAUGAAAUAUUGGUUAUUUGACGAGGGAAACCGAGACGGGACUAGGAUGCUCGUGAGAACUUGUAGUUUCAUGACGGUGCGUGGGUGGACUGACAACUACGCCACUGGCAAAACACCACGAAGGCUUUCUUCGGGGGCUUUUAUUCUGCUGAGGGAUAAAAAAAGAAAAUUCCGUUAAGUUAGAAAAAAAGAUGUUUCACGCCGAUAUUGCGUGUUAUACACGUAGGCUGGAAACACUCGGUGUGAACGCUUACAUUCUGGAAUCCUGAAUGGCGUGAAAGAUCUCGGAGCUUUUAUUUUAAUAUUCGCCCAACGUAUCGUACGAUUAAAUGAUUAUUCGGUGCUUGGUGAAGAAUUAUAUACUGUUUACUGGGCAACACACGUCUGCUCUGAAUCUGAACGAUAUUCUUGAUGUUGCGCAAAUGUGCGAAAUUACAUUAAGCUUCUUUUUAAUACGUCAAUCGUGUAUACAAAUUGUCCAGUAUAAACGUUUCCUUUUUUGUUCGCAGUUUAAUGUGCAUUGGCGAGAAAACAAAUGGUGCAACUGCAUAAACGACUGACGUUUCGGUAUAUUUAAUCGAACAAUGGAGUCUUUUGUCUAUAUUUUUGCAAUUAAGAGUGAAAGUAGAUUAUCUGCACGGUGGUACACAGUAGCCGGAGUUAACUAACGAGAUGCAGUACAUAAAUGAAUCGAUCCACUUGGCUGUACCAACAUUUCCUACGUUCCGUGCAUGACAGGACUUGAUCAAAUAAAGUACGUUCUAGACUGGCUUUAAUUAAUAAGGACGUGUAUCCGAAAUGUGAUCCGACUGGUCAGUUCUGUCUCGUCUCAUCCUCAGCACCGGUUAAUGCUCUCUCGUCGUUCGAUGUCGUUGCACUCUUAUCCUUAAUGCGACGGAGUUAAACGUGCUGAGUGCCGUACACGAGGAGAACGAUUCCGUCCGAUGCUGCUUACAACUUCGCUCCUCGAAAAAAAGAGGAGAGAUGGGGUGACUGCGAAAAGGGCGAGCCGGCUUCAGCCGUGCGAACGCGAACUUAAAUCCUGUCGGAAUGAAUUAUUCCCGUUUUCCCCUCUGACCAUGGAGAUAACGCAACCCCAACGAGCUGUACACCCACCACGUAGAAAUAAGUCGGUCUCAGGUGGAUGAAUGCCGGAUCUCGCUUUGUUCUCGCCUUUGUGUCGUUGUCUCGAGGUAUUCGAGCGUUGAUGAACUGGAACAUGAUGCUUCUGCGAGUUCUUCUUCUAUAGUUUCAACUGGCUGCUAAUAAGUAUGUUUCACGUUACUUGAUUAUAUUUUGUGCUUUUAAUAUUUUGAUGCUUGAAAUAAAGUAUUAAUAACUUGA